rnacentral:rRNA from 2 species
AGCAGCCGCGGUAAUUCCAGCUCCAAUAGCGUAUAUUAAAGUUGUUGCAGUUAAAAAGCUCGUAGUUGAAUUUCGGGAUCAAUUUAUUGGUCGUGCUAUUGUACGUACUGGUAUUAUUGAUUCCUACCUUCUGACGAACCAUGAUGUCAUUAAUUUGGUGUCAUGGGGAAUCAGGACUGUUACUUUGAAAAAUUAGAGUGUUUAAAGCAGGCUCACGCUUGAAUACAUUAGCAUGGAAUAACGAAAUAGGACGUUUGAUUCUAUUUUGUUGGUUUCUAGGAUCGACGUAAUGAUUAAUAGGGAUAGUUGGGGGCAUUAGUAUUCAAUUGUCAGAGGUGAAAUUCUUGGAUUUAUUGAAGACUAACUACUGCGAAAGCAUUUGCCAAGGAUGUUUUCAUUAAUCAAGAACGAAAGUUAGGGGAUCGAAGACGAUCAGAUACCGUCGUAGUC